AUAUAACGUCAUCGACUACAGUUUCUUCUGAAACACUGCCUUCAGUUUCGUCAACAGAGGUAAACGCUGUAUACAUUGCCGCUCUAGUUGCCUCUUGUCUUGUUGUUUUGAUGGUGCUGCUUUUAUUUCUUUGGUGGCGACAUAACAAAUGUAAUCUCUCUUGUACGCUGCGCACACUUAGGAAACGAGACCCGGGUACAUUGAUUAAAAGUAAGACGUACAAAGCAAGCGGUAUAGAUCGACAUAGGUCCAUGGAUGAUAUACGCCAGUCUGAAGUUAAUGAGUAUGCAGAAAUAUCUUAAGAUAACAUGAAUACUGACAAUUCCAGGGGACAUGAUUAUCAAGAAAUAAAGGAAACAAAUGAUGAUAAAACUGACAGAAACAAAUCGUAUUAUCAGAUAGGGACUUCGUUGAUACGAAUGAUACGAACUACUCUCAUAUAGAUAUUGGAAGGGGAGCAAAUAGCAUACAUUUCGAUAAAACAUACGCACAUACAAACGCAGUUGAUGCGUCAAAUAAACCUGAAAUGAGCUGGAAGGAUAAUUUCGAGACAUACAACAAGUUGAACACUGUGAAACUGACAAAGAAAUAGAGUCCAAAGCGGCGA